GGGAACGGAUAAACUCUGGUGGGUUUCACGGACUUCAAAUCCGCUGUCGGGUGGUAGGACCAACCGAGGUAGGUUCAACUCCUACACGUUCCCGCCA
rnacentral:tRNA from 1 species